rnacentral:rRNA from 1 species
UACGGGGGGGGUAAGCGUUGUUCGGAAUUACUGGGCGUAAAGGGCUCGUAGGCGGCCAACUAAGUCGGACGUGAAAUCCCUCAGCUUAACUGGGGAACUGCGUCCGAUACUGGAUGGCUUGGAUUUGGGAGAGGGAUGCGGAAUUCCAGGUGUAGCGGUGAAAUGCGUAGAUAUCAAGAGGAACACCUGAGGUGAAGACGGGUUGCUGGGCCAACACUGACGCUGAUGCGCGAAAGCCAGGGGAGCAAACGGG